CGGAGGAAAAGAAACUAACAAGGAUUCCCCUAGUAACUGCGAGUGAAGCGGGAAAAGCUCAAAUUUAAAAUCUGGCGGUCUUUGGCUGUCCGAGUUGUAAUCUAGAGAAGUGUUAUCCGCGCUGGACCG
rnacentral:rRNA from 1 species